rnacentral:tRNA from 1 species
UUCUGGCGACUGACAGAUUGUAAGGUGCGUUGCCGGUAGGUUUGCCGGUAGACGAGACGUUUGCCGAGGGCUUGUAGCUCAGUUGGUUAGAGCGCGCGCUUGAUAAGCGUGAGGUCGGAGGUUCAAGUCCUCCCAGGCCCACCAAUGUUUGCGUUUAUGACAGAUAUUUAAAUUUAUAUAUUAAAUUUUAUGAAUGAAUAUAUUUGUUUAAAAAGUUUAAGGGGCCAUAGCUCAGCUGGGAGAGCACCUGCUUUGCAAGCAGGGGGUCGUCGGUUCGAUCCCGUCUGGCUCCACCAAAACUUUUGGUUGAGUAAGAUUAUUUAAUCGUGGAUUGAAUUGAAACAUCAUCUUAAGAAAACAAGUUUUGCUGACUUUUAUUAUAAAAUAAGAGUUGGCCUGUUCUAUUGAAAUUGUG